AACGCUACGUGUCAGAAAAAAAAAGCGAGUAAGGUUCUUUUUACUGAAAGUAAGAAUCCAACAAUAACUUCACUCCGUCACUUGAGAAAUUCCCUUUUAGAUUUGGCUGAUAUGACUGUCAGUCUGUCACCAUCCAUCGUCACUAGAUAAUAACAGGGCCCACACAUACUAUAAUUUUCCCCCCAUGUGGGGCCUACACUCGAUGGGCUUCUCGUCCAAUUUUGAAUAAAUAGGCACUGAACGUUGAGAUUUCGGAAGCGUUUGAUUGAAGAAGAUGAUGUGGUGGACCCACAAACUGCAAUCAACACGUGCCCAUGUCCAACUGCUGACGUGUCACGAUACCACGCGUAGAUGUGUGGUAUUACCUUCAUCAGAUCGCUUUCACCACUUGGUCACCGACAGGAUGACCAGCCUGUCACUCUUACUGCCUAUUACAGCUAAACCCCCAUAAUGUUUACAGUCAUAUAUUAUACACUUGUAUCAUACGCCAACCCUAGUUUAUGCAUAAAUAGUGUCCAUAUGAAUGAUUAAUGCUAUUUGUUAACUAUUACCACAUCAUAAAUAUUAGUACUUCUUUUUGUUGAUAAAUUAUUAAAAAUUAUUAUCCGUUUCUUUGAGAUAAAAGAAACAUAUAAUUU
rnacentral:lncRNA from 1 species